AAUUGCUAUUUUAAUCAUUAAUCGUAGAACAAUGAAAAUAAACUACCGACUUUUUAAACAUCAACUUCAAAAAGAAAAAUCGAUACCUACCUAUAUAAUAGUAAUAAAAAAUUGCGAUUGCAACUUCUAAACUGUCAGUAGGUAUCCUAUCAGUAGGUACAUAAUUAAGACUUAUACUAGUUAUUUUUAGUUUAGAACAAGGCUUAGUUUACAACCAUUAUAACCCAUAUGUGUACAAAGUUGUCAUCGAUCCAAAUACCAGGAAAUACCAAGUAGUAGCUACUGUGGAAACUCGUCACUGGUUACAGUGACGAGUUUCCUUAACUAUCAUGCUACUUAAUCAUCACAUCACUGAUGCGUUAACAAUAAAUAAGCGGAAUUGGCAAUAGACGGACGGCCUAGCUAGCGGAAUAGGUAAGAUGGAAAUAUAACCACGUACCGGCAAGCGUAGCGCAGGAUAUUCAACCUCUAGAUAACUACCUAGUGGUAGAUAACUUAUGAUUAUGAUCGCAGGAAGCAAGACAAGCAAAUCACUUUCAACCGGCCCAUCUGGAAAGUUAUUGGGAGGGGCCUAUGUUAUGCAGUGGACGUCUUGUGGCUGAUAUUACGACGAAAAAAUAUUUAAGGGCUAAUUACGCAGUUUUUAUUUUGAUCAAGCUGAGUGUGAAUUUGGUAAGACCAAUAUUAAGUACUGUAAUCAGUAAUUAAAUGAUUAUUCAUUUUAAGAUGAGUUACUCACCUCUAGCACACCUCCAGAUCUAAGGUGCUGACGCUGAGGGUGGGGCAAGUGCCCCACUCGUCCACUGUGGAUACGCCCAUGAUAACAAUAUAAUAUGCACGUGGGUGUCAACAGACUGUAUUUUUCUCAUAAUCAGUUAGGCGAAGAACGUGUGCGCACCACUCGAUCAUCACAGUGAAAUUGAAUACAUUUAAAAUUUGUUCGUGCGGUUCCGAAAAUCAUUUGAAUUCAGUAAAUAAAAUCGAUUAUUAAGGAAAAUAUGAAGAUGAUCGAGCCACGGUUUUGUUUGCUAUUGAUUGCCAUUAUAAUGGGUAUUUACACAACGAAUACAACAGCGCUCACUGAGGUUAAGCCGAAAUGCCCAACAAGACAUAAACCAGUAAUAAUUGGAGAGGGCCGCACUCAUGUAUGCCUACCGGAAUCUCAUUUUACCGAAACGUUUGAUGAUAAUUUUAUAAACGGUACCUAAAUAAAAAUGAUUCCCUGAAAUCAGUUGAAGAUA